CUUAAUCAAUUUUUAAUCCAACUCACUAGGGGAUUCGACCUAGGUUGUGCUCUAUACAUAUUAGGAUGAUUUUUGGUUUUAAAAGAAAAUAAGUGAACAAAUGAAAAUGUGCUUUCAGGCACAGCCAAGCUAGGGCAUUAACAAAAUACUUCAAGGCAAAGAACCCUAUUGUGGGGACAUUAUUGUUGAUACCUUAUGUGCAAGGGUCGUGGUGCUUUAUCACACCCAAAAGAACUUUCCUGUACCAUUAUGUUACAAGUCCUAUGAUCUAGCCUAUACUAAUUGGAAGAUAAUAAAGUGCCCACAACAAAUAUCAUAUAGCAAGGAUUGUGGGAUAAUGCGUGAUGAGAUUUCUUAAAGACAUCAUCACUCACCAGUUGAGCCUAAU